CCCACCGUGUCGCGUCGCACGUAGGCCUUAAAGACGCGACGGGGGCCCGACCCGCGGCGGACGGCGCGGAGAGCCCAAAGGUGGAGCCCCAACCUCGCCCGUGCCCGUCUGUCCCUUCCUGCGCGCCGGGAGGAGGGCAUUGUUUCGCUGUCGCCUCCGUGAAAACCAGGCGGGGCUUGAGCGCAACGCCUGGCUCCGGGGCCCAGGAGGGCGCUAAAGAUCACGGAGACUCGAGCAGACGGUCCCAACUACCGGUUAUGUGGAAGAAGCAAAUGAGACCUUAUUCUUUGUGCAGGUUUUUUAUUUUUUUUAAGCCAUGGCGGCACACCCAAACCCCAGUGCAGGUGCACAGCAGUUUGAGCUGGUACCGGACAGUCUUGUACGCGGGGUCUCUGAUAGGACGGGGUCUGGAAGAAAGGGGGUGGUGGUGUGUGUGUCCUUUUCCUAGAGCAUCCUUGGAGGAUGGCAGUAAGUGGACCAGCAUUGUUUCUCAGUUCAUAAGCUCCCCCCACCCCACCCCCACGAAAGAAAAGCCCUGCGCCCCGCCGCGGCCAGACUGGGCUGCAGUUUCGCCUGGAGAGUCUCGGUGAACCUUUCUACCGCGGCUCACCAAAGCCCUGCCCACCUACAGUUCCGCUCUCGGCCAGGGCGGGUUAACGAGGCCCUGUUUUCCAGAAGACAAAAGUGAGGUCGGGUCUUUGGGUUUGCAAGCGUGCACUCCCCGCCCCCGGGCUCUCGCUGGCGUCGCUAAGCGAAGCGGCAUCUAAUUGUCCCCGCGCCACGCCAGGGACACAGCAUCCCUGCAGACCCCGCCCCUCCCCGGCAGACCACACCGCGGAAGCCGGGUACCUGCCAGCCUUUCCCUGGCCCAGUCCCGGUCCCGCCCCAAUGAGAGCUGGGCACGCCCCUGACGCGAGGUUUAGCCUCCCCGCCAACCAAGGGUAGGAGCGGAACCGCCCCCUCGGAGUAAGGAGCUCUCCAGUGGCUAACCUCUGGCUCUUCUUUAAACUGGCGUCUGACGGCGUGGCUUGAGCGAGUGCUUAGUACCCCCAAACUCUCCACUAGUUCCACCAUCCCUACUGGAAGUAAACAACCGAAGUUAAGCAAAAACGGGGUGCUUGCUACACUACUGCAGUCUGAAACCGGCUCCCGGUCCCCCUCCAACCAAAUGCACCCAACUCCCCACUAUAGAAAUUCAGGAACCGCUUCUAGUGUGCAGUUGGUGCCCGAGAGCCCGGAAGCCUGCGCCCCUAGAUCCUGCUCUUUUAGGAGUACGAAUUGCCAUUCUUGCCUGGGCCUCGAAGCUUGGCCCAUGGCCUGUGGCCACAACAGCCAGGUUUCAUCUAGGGGUUUCAUCCACUCAGUCGCGGUGGGAGGACUCUGGUAUCUCCUCCCACCUCUUCGUGUUGCCCGCAGAUCCUGUGGUUCCUGGAAGCCGGGAUCACAUUGGCAACUGAGGGAGGAGCAGCUCAGAGAGGUUCCUGUCCCUAGCCCAGGCUCUGAGUGGGGGACAUAGGUUCAAUCCCUGGUCCAGGAAGAUUCCACAUGUCUUGGAGCUAGAGCCAGAUCUCUAGAACCCCAGAACUGCAACUACGGAAACCUGGGCACCUAGAGCUUUUGCUCUGCAAGAGAAGCCAAGCAAUGAGAAGACCGUGCACCCCAAGGAAGAGCAGCCCCCACUCACCACAACUAGAGAAAGCCCAAAUGCAGCAACCAAGACCCCAGCACAACCAAAGAAUUAAAAAAUAAGAAAAUUCUUUUCUCUUUUCAAUUUCUGGUUAUACUUUUGGAGAGGGUUGGCAUUAUAAUUUAUUUUUUAACUUUUUCUUUUGUAUUGGGGUAUGGCCAAUGAACAGUGCUGUGCCACUUUCAGGUGAACAACAAGGGAUUCAGCCAUGUAUACAUGUGUCCAUUCUCCCCCAGCCAAACAGAAUGUGGCUUUCUGGUAGCAGUAUUGAAGGCAAUGAACUUAAAGGAGGGCUUCCCAGGUGACUCAGUGGUAAAGAAUCUGCCUGCCAACGCAGGAGACGCAGGAAACAUGGGUUCAAUCCCUGGGUCGGGAAGAUCCCCUGGAGAAGGAAAUGGCAACCGACUCCAGUAUUCUUGCCUGAAAAAUCCCAUGGACAGAGGAGCCUGGUGGGCUAGUCCAUGGAGUCACUCCCUCUUGAAAAUCUUAAGUCCAGCAGCUGUCCUGCCUGAAAUUCUACCUUAGAGCCUCAUUCUUUUGUUUCUUUGUUCCUAAAAGAACUCGCACCUAGAGGAAAGAGAGGCAGAGUAUCAGGCACUUGGAAAAAAUAAAGUAUGGGCAACUCCUUCACCCCUGGUUCACCCACCCACACCCCUUAUUCCUCCAGUGCUGGAUGGCUGAGACCUUGGCAAUGGAUGGCUGAGAAGCUCAGGGCCUGGGCCACCUGCAGAGACGAUUCACUCCACAUCCUCCACCCCUUACGUCCAAGCUCUUUCUCGAGCCUCAGCCCAUGUGCCCGGCCAAGUCUUUUCUGUGCCACACCAAGGACAUGCCUCUGCCCCGCA